CGUCUCGGGCGCGAGGGGUGUUGCGUUUCAGAGGGUCCAGCACGCCGCCCCAUACCGUCUAAGUCAAGCUUGAAAGCUGCCACUACCCGCGGAGGGUGAGAGGCCCGUAUGGCGGCGCCCGCGAGGGCACAGAUGGGGCGGUCGGAAAGGACGACGACCUGUCUCUGUAGAGUCGGGUUGCUUGAGAAUGCAGCCCAAAGUAGGUGGUAAACUCCAUCUAAGGCUAAAUAUGACCACGAGACCGAUAGCGAACAAGUACCGUGAGGGAAAGUUGAAAAGAACUUUGAAGAGAGAGUUCAAGAGUACGUGAAACCGUUAAGAGGCAAACGGGUGGAAGCUCGAAGGUCGAACGGUGGGGAUUCAGCUCGUCGGCGGGUUUUCCGGCUGGCGGAGGGUGUAUGUAAGCGACCCUGCUAGACUUGGGCGCGCCCUCCAGCCACGCAGGCGUCGGCGGGCGUAUUUCGCCCCGUAGUAGACCGCCGCGACCCGUUGCUGGGGACGUCGAAGGCCCGGGUGGAUUGGUACCUCGCCGCCGCUCUCUCAACGGGAGCGAGCGACGGGGGAAACCCCCGGUGUUGUCCUGACUGCCCAUUGAUGCGACGGUCGCUAAGACGAGGCCCGGCCCUGUGGCCGGGCCUCUCGCGGCGUGCACAGGUCGGUGGUCCACCCGACCCGUCUUGAAACACGGGCCAAGGAGUCCAACAUGUGUGCGAGUCAUUGGGUGCACUAAACCCAAAGGCGCAAUGAAAGUGACCGGGGCGGCUGAUGAUGAUCACGAUGAUGAGGAGGAGGAGGAGGAGUAGUCGGGUGUAGCAAGGGGGUUUCGUCACUGAAGCCCCCACCCCUGACCCUUCUUCUUCUUGUUCUUCUUCUUCGUCUCGUGUGUCUAAUCCCGUGCCAGGGCCGAUCUCCGACCGGCUGCCUCGAGCCGCCUUAGGCUUCGUCCCUCUCCCGUUGCCGGUACACAGGGUGAGUCAGUUUCCCCUGCCUCUGCCGGUUUUCGGCGCCGGGCCUAGUCUUCCAUGGGCGCUCGGGCGAAGGUCUUCUUCUGCUGCCUGCUGCUGGAGCUUUUUACCAAGUCUUCAGCGGGGGUUAUGCGGGGCGCAGGCCCGGGACUUGCCAGGACGCCGCGCGUCGUCGCCGUGUCGUUUGCUUCCGCUCACUCCCCGGGUUCGUGCUGCCUCUUGGGGCGGCGCGGCGGGAGGGUUCAGCGGGGGCUCCAGCGGCGCGGCGAGCCGGCGCGCGUGACACAGUCGGCAAGUACCAUGAGCAGAUAUGUUGGGACCCGAAAGAUGGUGAACUAUGCCUGGCCAGGAUGAAGCCAGAGGAAACUCUGGUGGAGGUCCGUAGCGAUUCUGACGUGCAAAUCGAUCGUCGGAGCUGGGUAUAGGGGCGAAAGACUAAUCGAACCAUCUAGUAGCUGGUUCCCUCCGAAGUUUCCCUCAGGAUAGCUGGGACUCGCAGGAUGAAUUUCAUCCGGUAAAGCGAAUGAUUAGAGGUCUUGGGGACGAAACGUCCUCAACCUAUUCUCAAACUUUAAAUGGGUGAGAUGCCGAGCUUGCUUAAAGACUAAACCAGAAGAAGCUCCGGCGAAUAAUCUGAGUGUCUAGUGGGCCACUUUUGGUAAGCAGGAACUGGCGCUGUGGGAUGAACCAAACGUCGAGUUAAGGGGCCUAAACGAAUGCUCAUUCAGAUCCCAUCGAAAGGCGUUGGUUGCUAUAGACAGCAGGACGGUGGCCAUGGAAGUCGGAAUCCGCUAAGGAGUGUGUAACAACUCACCUGCCGAAGCAACUAGCCCUUAAAAUGGUAUGGCGCUCAAGCAUUCUCCCGAUACUCGACCGCCGGGGCAAUGCCGGCCGUCGCUCUCAGGCCUCGAAGCCCCGGUGAGUAGGAGGGUCGCAGUGGUGAGCGCUGAAGGGGUCCGGCGUGAGCCGGCCUGGAGCCGCCACUGGUGCAGAUCUUGGUGGUAGUAGCAAAUACUCGAGAGAGACUCCCUUGAUGACCGAUGUGGAGAAGGGUUCCAUGUGAACAUCAGUUGGACAUGGGUUAGUCGCUCCUAAGCCCAAGGCGAAAGACUGAUCCC
rnacentral:rRNA from 1 species